UACGUAGGGUCCGAGCGUUGUCCGGAGUUACUGGGCGUAAAGCGCGCGCAGGCGGCGGUGCUGGCCCGGCGUGAAAGCCCCCGGCUCAACCGGGGAGGGUCGUCGGGGACCGCACCGCUUGAGGGCGGUAGGGGCUGGUGGAAUGCCUGGUGUAGUGGUGAAAUGCGUAGAGAUCAGGCGGAACACCCGUGGCGAAGGUGGCCAGCUGGGCCGUCCCUGACGCUGAGGCGCGAAGGCGUGGGGAGCGAACGGG
rnacentral:rRNA from 1 species